UGAGCAAUCUGCCCUUCACAUCGGAAUAACCAUUGGAAACGAUGGCUAAUACCGAAUAUGACUUCGGAUCGCAUGAUCUGAAGUGGAAAGCUCCGGCGGUGAAGGAUGAGCUCGCGGCCUAUCAGCUUGUUGGUGAGGUAAUAGCUCACCAAGGCGAUGGACGGGUAGCCGGCCUGAGGAGGGUCGACCGGCCACACGUGGGACUGACGACGACCGGCAGUACCG
rnacentral:rRNA from 1 species